AACGCAUAUUGCGCUCUUUGGUAUUCCGAAGAGCAUGCUUGUUUGAGUAUCAGUAAACACCUCAAAGCUUUCCAUUUUUUGAAAAGCCUUGGACUUGAGCGAACCCAACACCUUUCUAUUUCAGAUCGGCGGCGGGUUGCUUGAAAUGCAGGUGCAGCUGGACAUUCUCCUGAGCUAAAAGCAUAUUUAUUUAGUCCCGUCAAACGGAUUAUUACUUUUGCUGCAGCUUACAUAAAGGGAGUUUGACCUUAUUGGCUGACUGAUGCAGGAUUUCACAAGGGUCGGCAACGAUUUUUGUAAAACUCGAUCUCAAAUCAAGUAAGACUACCCGCUGAACUUAA
rnacentral:misc_RNA from 1 species